rnacentral:tRNA from 1 species
GAGGCUGUGGCUCAGUUGGUAGAGUGCAUGCCUGAGACACAAAGGUCCUGGGUUCGAUUCCCAGUGCCCACC